GGUUGGGUUUCUGCAGUCCUGGAGUGUUCCUGCAUGGUGGUUAUCGCUUCUGGAGGAGCGAGGUGACAGAAGCCCCUUGAAAUGAAAUAUCUGGGUUCCUAUUAGCGGUAUCUCUAGGGUAUUUCCUAGGCCAUUUCUCUCCCAGGACAGCCUUUGGAGCAGCCCCUGUCAGACAGGACGUAUGGUCUCCAACACGCAGUGCUUUUAAGGCCAGAGAAAGCAGAAAGAAGUUAUGGAGCAUUGUGUCUGCCAAAUGCAGUGCUGCAGCAGCCCUGGCCUGUCCUUCCCAGCCCUCAGCACGGAGCCCCAGCCCUGCCCAGCCCACCAACAGGGCACAGGCAGCAGCAGGAGCAGCAGCAGGACUCUGAUGUGCAGGAGAUGCUCUCAGGAGAACUGGGCUGGAACGUGCCCUGGCACUGCGAGGAUCCCUGUUAGUGGUACCACUGGAGGAAGAGCAGUAAUUAUUCCUAAAAUCCAGGCUGUGGAGUGUUUUGGGAGGGAAGAGAGUAUACUCUUGCUCUCCUGAGUACGAGAAAAUUGAAUUGCUUGGAAAGCACUGGGAUAUCAUUGUUUUCUGCCUCAUGUAAAGCUGAUCUGCAAGGCCUCUCUGGAGGGCCUGCACGGAUAAUUGCCUCACUAAUGAACGUGGGACUCCAGCACAGGACCCUUCCAUGGGACCCAAGGAGCUCAUACAUCCCUCCCCACGGUGACAGGGGAUCAUCCUGGAGCUGCUCCCAUGAAGUGCUCUGACCUCUCUUUAUUUCUUGCCCCAAAAAGGGGGCAAACGAUCUCAGAAAUGGAGGGACUUCAAAAAGACAAAUGUGGGGAUUUGCCAGUUUUUGCUGCUGGGGGUUCAUGAUGGGGCAGAGGAGAUGUACCCCUGCUGCCCUGCUCUCUUCCUGUCCCCUGAGGACCCAUAGGUUCCAGCUUGUCCUUUCUAUGUUGGUCUGGAGUGAUGCUGGGAUAUCCAGCCGGCGUCAUCGGAUGUGCAGGGCUCUUUGGGGACUUAAAUCACAGCUCUGUCCUCUGCGUGGAGACAAAUGACAUCCUGCAGCGCAGGUGCUUUACAAAGAACAAUAAAUGGAAAGCUCUUGGCUGGGCUCAGCGAUAGGGCCAGGAUCCUCUUUCACAGAGGAUUUUAGGGCUCAAGGCACCACAGCUGUUUGUGGGAUAAUCCUUCUGCCCUCCUCCUCAACCUUGAAAAAGAACUUCGCAGUCCCACUCAAACUGGAAAUAAAUCAGGAAAUGGCACUUUGUUCUUUCCAGAAAUAGGCUGGCUUUCCAAACCCUUUGAAACAGGCACCCGAGACGAGUCUGCUAGGGAACAAACUUCAUUCAGCCUGGUUGCAACAAAGUCUGUUCGUAAGUAAAAGCAGGACUCACAUGCUGGUUUCAGGGCCUGCACUUGCAGGAGUCCCUGUGUGGGGGACUGCCCUGGGGCACCAGCAGCACGUCCUCUCCAUGCUGACUUCUCCAUCACAACAGCCUAUGGGUUCCCCAGUUGGUCUCCGUGGGAUGGAGCUCCAUCCCCUCACUGCAAGCGGGAGAUGUGAGCACAAAAGCGGGCUGUGGAGGUGGCAGUGCUCCCUGCCAGGGGCUGAAUGAGGAUUUACACUUCCCCUCUGGGUGAACCAGACCGGCUCUUUCCAAGGCUCAUAGCCCCAGAAUGGGCUGCACUGCUGGAAUUAAGUGGGAGUGCGAGUGUCAGCGCUUUGUAGCUGGUGAAAUGUGGGCUCUGUAAAGCUGUCGGGAGGGAGCAGCGUUCCCUGCAGUGCCCCUGCCUCAGCAUUGCCAGGUCAUUGAGCACAGCACCCACUGCCUGCCCCCUGCCAAAGCUCCAGAGGGACAGGGUGUGUGUGGGGACUUCUGGGGUUUUGUGGGUAUGCUGUGGGACCCAUGACAAAUUCCCUGGUGCUCCUGUGGUACUGCCCAUGUCCUGGCUCAGCAGAGAUCUGGUUCACAGUGCAGAAUAUCCCUUGGACAUCUCUAUCCAAUUGUCCCCAUGGUUUUGCUGCCUGGAGGUGCACGCAACCUGGAUCCCCCAAGCUUGCUGCUGGGACCUGUCUGCUGCUGGGAUUUUUUUCUGCCCCUCUUUACAGGCCUCUUUCUGCAGUUUGGGACCAGAAGGCAGUGGGGUGUGAAUGGGAACAAAGAACCUCAGCUCUGUGACUGACACAAAACCAUCCGGGGUAAUGAACAGCUCUGAGAGCAGAGGAGGCUGUGCACUUCUCUCCUCUGCAGAACAAUAUUUCUGACGUGCUUUAAGCAUCAUUAAACAGAUAAUUAAAC
rnacentral:lncRNA from 7 species